rnacentral:rRNA from 1 species
GAUGAACGCUAGCGGCAGGCUUAAUACAUGCAAGUCGAGGGGCAACAUGGUGUAGCAAUACACUGAUGGCGACCGGCAAACGGGUGCGGAACACGUACAGAACCUUCCUUCGAGCGGGGAAUAGCCCAGAGAAAUUUGGAUUAAUACCCCAUAGUAUGAUGAAGAGGCAUCUCUUUAUUAUUAAAGAUUUAUCACUUGAAGAUGGCUGUGUGGCUGAUUAGGUAGUUGGCGGGGUAACGGCCCACCAAGCCUACGAUCAGUAACUGGUGUGAGAGCACGACCAGUCACACGGGCACUGAGACACGGGCCCGACUCCUACGGGAGGCAGCAGUAAGGAAUAUUGGUCAAUGGACGAGAGUCUGAACCAGCCAUGCCGCGUGGAGGAUGAAGGUCCUCUGGAUUGUAAACUUCUUUUAUAUGGGACGAAAAAAGACUUUUCUAAGUCGUCUGACGGUACCAUAUGAAUAAGCACCGGCUAACUCCGUGCCAGCCGCCGCCGUAACAC